rnacentral:lncRNA from 1 species
AUGGAGAGCUUCGUGAGCCCCACACAUCUACAACAGGCAAGAGCUAAAAUUCUGAGGUUUGAUUUUAGGCAUGCCAAAGGGAUGUCUUUGGAAACACACAAUUUGGAACCCAUCUCAGAAGGUAAGGGAGAUGAAGGCUACAGUAGCUCCCCAACUUGUCAUCCAGAGCCUUACCUUCCUGGUCUAUGUGUGGUUCCAGCAAAACCCAUUCUGGGGCAUGUUCUGCAAGGCAGCUGUUGGCAUGCCUUGAGACUCAAACCCAGACACAAGGGAGCUGAAAAACCCUGAGGAGAGAAUAAGGAAAUGUGGCAGUUAAGGCAUGGGCUGCAUGCUGUUCACGGCAAGUAUGGUGAUCCCAUAUGAUGUUUAGAGUUUGGAGCAUGGGAUUGCAUGAGCGGCUGCCUCUUUGUUU